rnacentral:rRNA from 1 species
AUGGUCUCGGAACAUCUUCGUGCAUAUGAAUUGAAGCAAAGCAAGAAGAAGUUGAGGUUUGAAAGUGACUCAAAGGAGUAUGUGGAGAAAGAGAAGCAGAGGAGAGCUGCACAUGGUGCCAAGGGUGGCAAAUUUGUUAAAGCCAAGCAGCCUGCUUUGCAGAAGAAGAGACUAAGUUUUGUUGCCGAGGAAGGUGGUACUCCUCGGCGGAGUCUUCGUGUUGCUUGCAUGAACAAGAAUCUUGGUAAGAGAACUGCUGAAGCUGGUGCAGAGGAUCCUUAG